UGACACAUGACAUUGUAUGUUUCAGGUAC
rnacentral:piRNA from 1 species